GCCAAAUACUGUCAUCAAGGGUUGGGGGAGGAAGGGAGAGAGGGAAAGAAAUGCAUGAAGUCUGGAGUCCACUUGGAAGAGCAAGAAGCCUGCCUGGGAGAGAUGUUACAAAAUCCCUGUGAUGCAGAAGGCAGGUGUGGGUACACCUGGAUUGAAAAAAUUGCCUAUCUAGUGCAUAUAUAUGUCCUGAAAAUUCAGCUGUGGACAAUCAAUCUGCUGAAGUCACCAGCAGCACUUCAAGGAAGUGACAGAUGACAG
rnacentral:lncRNA from 1 species